rnacentral:lncRNA from 1 species
AUGUGAAGCCAAACUACUUGAAGGGUCUUUCUCAUGUACUUAACAGGCUGCCCAAGCCUGUACUCUUGCCAGAGCUGCCCACGGCUGUCCGGAUCGCCGCACUGCAGUGCAUGCAUGCUCUCACUCGCCUGCCCACCCCUGUGCUGCUGCCGUACAAACCACAGGUGAUUCGGGCCUUAGCCAAACCCCUGGAUGACAAGAAGAGACUGGUGCGCAAGGAAGCAGUGUCAGCCAGAGGGGAGUGGUUUCUGUUGGGGAGCCCUGGCAGCUGAGCCCUCAGUCCUGGCCUAGACUGUUCUGACAAUCUAACCUGGGAUUACUAACUGUUGAGCCAUCUUCCCCAAAGCAGGGAAACCACUGGUCUCUGACUGCCUUUCCCACAGACACAGCACAAAUGCUAGGCCUCUGUUGCAUGGCUGUACAAAGAACAUAAGAGUCCAUAUUUCUAGUGGAUUUGUAAAAUAAGUGUGUGUGAGACACUUGCGUUUGAAGAAAGAUCUAGGGUCCUGGGUCUCUUGCAUUUAUAUGUCAGAAAAGGGGCGAUAUGCUGCUGAGGGGUGAGUGCAUAUGAGUGUGGCCCUGAGGACCAGGGCUGGCAGAUGUUGUCUACCUGCUGAAGAAUAAAGAUUUCUUUUGGUAA